AUUGAACGCUGGCGGCAGGCCUAACACAUGCAAGUCGAGCGGAUGAAGGGAGCUUGCUCCUGGAUUCAGCGGCGGACGGGUGAGUAAUGCCUAGGAAUCUGCCUGGUAGUGGGGGAUAACGUCCGGAAACGGGCGCUAAUACCGCAUACGUCCUGAGGGAGAAAGUGGGGGAUCUUCGGACCUCACGCUAUCAGAUGAGCCUAGGUCGGAUUAGCUAGUUGGUGGGGUAAAGGCCUACCAAGGCGACGAUCCGUAACUGGUCUGAGAGGAUGAUCAGUCACACUGGAACUGAGACACGGUCCAGACUCCUACGGGAGGCCGCAGUGGGGAAUAUUGGACGAUGGGCGAAAGCCUGAUCCAGCCAUGCCGCGUGUGUGAAGAAGGUCUUCGGAUUGUAAAGCACUUUAAGUUGGGAGGAAGGGCAGUAAGUUAAUACCUUGCUGUUUUGACGGUACCAACAGAAUAAGCACCGGCUAACUUCGUG
rnacentral:rRNA from 1 species